UGGAACUGAGACACGGUCCAGACUCCUACGGGAGGCAGCAGUGGGGAAUAUUGGACAAUGGGCGAAAGCCUGAUCCAGCCAUGCCGCGUGUGUGAAGAAGGUCUUCGGAUUGUAAAGCACUUUAAGUUGGGAGGAAGGGUUGUAGAUUAAUACUAAUGCAUUUUGACGUUACCGACAGAAUAAGCACCGGCUAACUCUGUGCCAGCAGCCGCGGUAAUACAGAGGGUGCAAGCGUUAAUCGGAAUUACUGGGCGUAAAGCGCGCGUAGGUGGUUUGUUAAGUUGGAUGUGAAAUCCCCGGGCUCAACCUGGGAACUGCAUCCAAAACUGGCAAGCUAGAGUAUGGUAGAGGGUGGUGGAAUUUCCUGUGU
rnacentral:rRNA from 1 species